UACAAUAAUUUAAGCCACAUUGUA
rnacentral:siRNA from 1 species